UACGAAGGGGGCUAGCGUUGUUCGGAUUUACUGGGCGUAAAGCGCACGUAGGCGGACUUUUAAGUCAGGGGUGAAAUCCCGGGGCUCAACCCCGGAACUGCCUUUGAUACUGGAAGUCUUGAGUUCGAGAGAGGUGAGUGGAAUUGCGAGUGUAGAGGUGAAAUUCGUAGAUAUUCGCAGGAACACCAGUGGCGAAGGCGGCUCACUGGCUCGAUACUGACGCUGAGGUGCGAAAGCGUGGGGAGCAAACAGGAUUAGAAACCCCCGUAGUCC
rnacentral:rRNA from 1 species